GUGUCGGCACUGGACGUACCGAGGUCCUCGGCAGACAGUGGUGCCGAGGGGCCACCGCACCUGCCCUCGCCACCACUGUCUGCCCGGUCGCCAUCUGUACCUCGGGUCGCAGGCACCUGCCCCGCGGGGCGGUGGGAAGCGGUGAGGCAGGGGCUGAGCCUCGUCAGUCCGUGCCGGGCGGUGGGGGUCCCUGCUGUUCCCCUGCAGAUGCUCUUUCCCGGAGCCGGCUGCGGCGCGGGACCCACGUCCUGCCCUCAGAGCCACCACCUUCCCAGGCGACAGGGACCCUCUGCUCGGGGAGGAGCACGGAACGGGGCAGGAACCACGGGCCCCGGCGGGGGCACCGAGCUGCGCUGAGGAGGCAGGUGGGAGCCAGGGCUCACGACUUGAAUUUUGCUCAGCGGACGUGUCAUUUUCAACACAGACCUUUGGUUUUUCCCCGAGUGACGGGGACCCUGAAUGCAGCCGGGCGGAGGGAGAGGGCUCACCUCCGGCACCCCCGAAGCUGAGCGUCAGAGAGGACCGGAGGGGAGCCGCUAGGCAAAGGAUCUAAACAGACACCGCCUCAAAGAGGAUACACAGAUGAGAAAUACGCACACGAGAAGGGACUCCGUGUCGUGUAAUUCCCCGACGAGAGAAGGGCACAUUAAAGCCACAACAACGAGAUGCCCCCGCUCACCUGUCGGGAUGGCCAGGAUCCGGAGCACUGACCACACCGACGCUGGCGAGGAUGUGCAGCCCCCCGAGCCCACUCACUGCUCACCGUGCAGCCCCUGCAGAAGACGGUAUCUUACAGAACCAGUCACACCGUCCCCGUACGAUCCCGCAGCCACACUCCUUGGUUCUCGUACCCAAAGGAGCUGAAGAGUUACUGCCACACAAAAACCUGCACACGGAUGUUUAUAGCAUCUUUAUUCAGAGUCACUAAAACUCGGAAGCCACCAAGAAACCCUUCAGUCGGUGAUGGAUAAAGUUACUGUGGUCCAUCCAGACAAUGGAAUAUUAUUUAGUGGUGAAGAGAGAGAGAGAGAGAGAGAGAGCGGGAGAGAGAGACCCCUCUAGCAAGUUCCCCAAAGACAUGCAAAAGUCUUAAAUGCACGUCACUGAGUGAAGGAAGCCAGUCUGAAAAGGCCACAGACCGUGCGAUUUCAACUGUAGGACGUUCUGGAAAAGGCAGGACUCUGGAGACAGUAGGAGGACCAGCGGCCGCCAGGGGUUGGGGAGGAGGGAGGGAUGAACGGGAAACACGGAGGGUGUUUAGGGCAGCGAAGCCCUCUGUGUGAGACUAUAAUGGUGGGUAUACAUCAUCACCGUCCAUCUGUCCAAACCCAUAGAAUGUAUCACAACCGAGAGGAACCCUACGGGAAACUGUGGACUUCCGUUAUUAAAAAAAAAA